rnacentral:rRNA from 1 species
UACGAAGGGGGCUAGCGUUGUUCGGAAUUACUGGGCGUAAAGCGCACGUAGGCGGAUACUUAAGUCAGGGGUGAAAUCCCGGGGCUCAACCCCGGAACUGCCUUUGAUACUGGGUAUCUCGAGUCCGGAAGAGGUGAGUGGAAUUCCGAGUGUAGAGGUGAAAAUUCGUAGAUAUUCGGAGGAACACCAGUGGCGAAGGCGGCUCACUGGUCCGGUACUGACGCUGAGGGUGCGAAAAGCGUGGGGGAGCAAACAGG